rnacentral:rRNA from 1 species
GGUUAAGCGACUAAGCGUACACGGUGGAUGCCCUGGCAGUCAGAGGCGAUGAAGGACGUGCUAAUCUGCGAAAAGCGUCGGUAAGGUGAUAUGAACCGUUAUAACCGGCGAUGUCCGAAUGGGGAAACCCAGUGCAAUUCGUUGCACUAUCGUUAACUGAAUACAUAGGUUAACGAGGCGAACCGGGGGAACUGAAACAUCUAAGUACCCCGAGGAAAAGAAAUCAACCGAGAUUCCCCCAGUAGCGGCGAGCGAACGGGGAGCAGCCCAGAGUCUGAAUCAGCUUGUGUGUUAGUGGAACGGUCUGGAAAGUCCGACGGUACAGGGUGAUAGUCCCGUACACCAAAAUGCACAGGUUGUGAACUCGAAGAGUAGGGCGGGACACGUGGUAUCCUGUCUGAAUAUGGGGGGACCAUCCUCCAAGGCUAAAUACUCCUGACUGACCGAUAGUGAACCAGUACCGUGAGGGAAAGGCGAAAAGAACCCCGGCGAGGGGAGUGAAAAAGAACCUGAAACCGUGUACGUACAAGCAGUGGGAGCACCUUCGGGUGUGACUGCGUACCUUUUGUAUAAUGGGUCAGCGACUUAUAUUCUGUAGCAAGGUUAACCGUAUAGGGGAGCCGCAGGGAAACCGAGUCUUAACUGGGCGUUAAGUUGCAGGGUAUAGACCCGAAACCCGGUGAUCUAGCCAUGGGCAGGUUGAAGGUUGGGUAACACUAACUGGAGGACCGAACCGACUAAUGUUGAAAAAUUAGCGGAUGACUUGUGGCUGGGGGUGAAAGGCCAAUCAAACCGGGAGAUAGCUGGUUCUCCCCGAAAGCUAUUUAGGUAGCGCCUCGUGAAUUCAUCUUCGGGGGUAGAGCACUGUUUCGGCUAGGGGGUCAUCCCGACUUACCAACCCGAUGCAAACUACGAAUACCGAAGAAUGUUAUCACGGGAGACACACGGCGGGUGCUAACGUCCGUCGUGAAGAGGGAAACAACCCAGACCGCCAGCUAAGGUCCCAAAGUCAUGGUUAAGUGGGAAACGAUGUGGGAAGGCACAGACAGCCAGGAUGUUGGCUUAGAAGCAGCCAUCAUUUAAAGAAAGCGUAAUAGCUCACUGGUCGAGUCGGCCUGCGCGGAAGAUGUAACGGGGCUAAACCAUGCACCGAAGCUGCGGCAGCGACACUAUGUGUUGUUGGGUAGGGGAGCGUUCUGUAAGCCUGCGAAGGUGUGCUGUGAGGCAUGCUGGAGGUAUCAGAAGUGCGAAUGCUGACAUAAGUAACGAUAAAGCGGGUGAAAAGCCCGCUCGCCGGAAGACCAAGGGUUCCUGUCCAACGUUAAUCGGGGCAGGGUGAGUCGACCCCUAAGGCGAGGCCGAAAGGCGUAGUCGAUGGGAAACAGGUUAAUAUUCCUGUACUUGGUGUUACUGCGAAGGGGGGACGGAGAAGGCUAUGUUAGCCGGGCGACGGUUGUCCCGGUUUAAGCAUGUAGGCUGAUUGUCCAGGCAAAUCCGGAUAAUCAAGGCUGAGGUGUGAUGACGAGGCACUACGGUGCUGAAGUAACAAAUGCCCUGCUUCCAGGAAAAGCCUCUAAGCAUCAGGUAACAUCAAAUCGUACCCCAAACCGACACAGGUGGUCAGGUAGAGAAUACCAAGGCGCUUGAGAGAACUCGGGUGAAGGAACUAGGCAAAAUGGUGCCGUAACUUCGGGAGAAGGCACGCUGGUGUGUAGGUGAAGUCCCUGCGGAUGGAGCUGAGACCAGUCGAAGAUACCAGCUGGCUGCAACUGUUUAUUAAAAACACAGCACUGUGCAAACACGAAAGUGGACGUAUACGGUGUGACGCCUGCCCGGUGCCGGAAGGUUAAUUGAUGGGGUUAUCCGUAAGGAGAAGCUCUUGAUCGAAGCCCCGGUAAACGGCGGCCGUAACUAUAACGGUCCUAAGGUAGCGAAAUUCCUUGUCGGGUAAGUUCCGACCUGCACGAAUGGCGUAAUGAUGGCCAGGCUGUCUCCACCCGAGACUCAGUGAAAUUGAACUCGCUGUGAAGAUGCAGUGUACCCGCGGCAAGACGGAAAGACCCCGUGAACCUUUACUAUAGCUUGACACUGAACAUUGAGCCUUGAUGUGUAGGAUAGGUGGGAGGCUUUGAAGCGUGGACGCCAGUCUGCGUGGAGCCAACCUUGAAAUACCACCCUUUAAUGUUUGAUGUUCUAACGUUGGCCCCUUACCGGGGUUGCGGACAGUGUCUGGUGGGUAGUUUGACUGGGGCGGUCUCCUCCCAAAGCGUAACGGAGGAGCACGAAGGUUAGCUAAUCCUGGUCGGACAUCAGGAGGUUAGUGCAAUGGCAUAAGCUAGCUUGACUGCGAGCGUGACGGCGCGAGCAGGUGCGAAAGCAGGUCAUAGUGAUCCGGUGGUUCUGAAUGGAAGGGCCAUCGCUCAACGGAUAAAAGGUACUCCGGGGAUAACAGGCUGAUACCGCCCAAGAGUUCAUAUCGACGGCGGUGUUUGGCACCUCGAUGUCGGCUCAUCACAUCCUGGGGCUGAAGUAGGUCCCAAGGGUAUGGCUGUUCGCCAUUUAAAGUGGUACGCGAGCUGGGUUUAGAACGUCGUGAGACAGUUCGGUCCCUAUCUGCCGUGGGCGCUGGAGAAUUGAGGGGGGCUGCUCCUAGUACGAGAGGACCGGAGUGGACGCAUCACUGGUGUUCGGGUUGUCAUGCCAAUGGCACUGCCCGGUAGCUAAAUGCGGAAGAGAUAAGUGCUGAAAGCAUCUAAGCACGAAACUUGCCCCGAGAUGAGUUCUCCCUGAGACUUUAAGUCUCCUGAAGGAACGUUGAAGACGACGACGUUGAUAGGCCGGGUGUGUAAGCGCAGCGAUGCGUUGAGCUAACCGGUACUAAUGAACCGUGAGGCUUAACCUU